rnacentral:lncRNA from 1 species
UAUACUCUACCGAUUCCUCAGAAGAAUCCUCUCCAGACUCUGAUUAUGAUACAAUUCCGAUCUUAAUGAUUGAUCUUCCUAUGGAAAGUGAAGAAGACAUACCAGCAAAUGUGAUGCAACAUCCACUCUCUCCGUCAUCGAUUCCCCAAUUGUCUCAGCUUGCUAUCGAAAAGAUACCUCCAGUGUCUUAUGUUCCUAUACAAGUGUUAUCUUCAAAGUAUUCGAACCUAUUUCAGUCUUAU